rnacentral:rRNA from 1 species
CGGGUGAGUAAUACAUCGGAACGUGUCUUCUAGUGGGGGAUAACUGCCCGAAAGGGCAGCUAAUACCGCAUGAGACCUGAGGGUGAAAGCGGGGGAUCGCAAGACCUCGCGCUGGAAGAGCGGCCGAUGUCCGAUUAGCUAGUUGGUGAGGUAAAGGCUCACCAAGGCGACGAUCGGUAGCUAGUCUGAGAGGACGACCAGCCACACUGGGACUGAGACACGGCCCAG